rnacentral:rRNA from 1 species
UAACUGAAGAGUUUGAUCAUGGCUCAGAUUGAACGCUGGCGGCAGGCUUAACACAUGCAAGUCGAGCGGGGGAAGGUAGCUUGCUACCGGACCUAGCGG